AUAGGACAAGAUAGCUCGAAGGACAAAGGGAAAAGGAUUGCUAGAGACGAAGAUGAAGAUGAUGUUUUCCAAGUAUGUAGAGUGAUGAAGUAUUACGCUUUAUGCGUGGACCUGAAGAAGGAAAGGGUGCAUGUCUUAGAUAGUCAAAACGAGAGUGAAGCUCAGAUCAAAGAAGAAAAAUACACCCGAACAGUUGAUGAAUUGAAGCAAAUGAUGGUGGACUACAUGACCAAUAUCAAUGAAGUUCAUAAGAGCAUUAUUGUGAAGAGGUCAAAGAUGUCUAUAGUUCAUAUAAAAUGGGGUGAUGUGAAGAACAUUAAUUAAUGACACAGGAGUAUACCUAAUGAGGCAUAUGGAGACUUUCAUGGGUGAAGGUGCAUAUAGUUGGAGCUGUGGGCUAACUGCGAAACUGAAGAAGCAAUUGAAUCUGUUGAGGGUGAGGUACUGCGCAACUAUUAUUGGGUGGGAGAAAAAUAGUGUUAAAGAUGAUGUUACUAUUAGUGCGACUGACUACUAUGAGGAGGUUGUUGGUGACCCGAUCAUUAACAUCGACAUGACACUGCUUGGAUAAAAACAACAUUAUUGGCAUGACAGUUAUAAGUUUUUUGUUUCUUGGUAAAAACAAGUGGACAAUGUUUACAGUUAUUUAAGCAUUUAUAUGGAUGCAAAUUUGUUUUUGGAUUAUGAUCGUUUUAAAAUAAAGAA